rnacentral:piRNA from 1 species
UCAGUACGAGACCGAAAUUUUUUCAA